AGGACGAACGCUGGCGGCGUGCUUAACACAUGCAAGUCGAGCGGAAAGGCCCUUCGGGGUACUCGAGCGGCGAACGGGUGAGUAACACGUGAGUAAUCUGCCCUUAGCUCUGGGAUAGCUCCGGGAAAACCGGGAUUAAUACCAGAUACGACCACUUUAGACAUCUGCCGUGGUGGAAAGAAUUUCGGCUAAGGAUGAGCUCGCGGCCUAUCAGCUUGUUGGUGGGGUAACGGCCUACCAAGGCGACGACGGGUAGCCGGCCUGAGAGGGCGACCGGCCACACUGGGACUGAGACACGGCCCAGACUCCUACGGGAGGCAGCAGUGGGGAAUAUUGCGCAAUGGGCGAAAGCCUGACGCAGCGACGCCGCGUGGGGGAUGAAGGCCUUCGGGUUGUAAACCCCUUUCAGCAGGGACGAAGCGAAAGUGACGGUACCUGCAGAAGAGCGCGGCUAACUACGUGCCAGCAGCCGC
rnacentral:rRNA from 1 species